rnacentral:lncRNA from 1 species
UUUAAACUCUCCUUCUGGAACAGAACUACCCUAUAGGCAGUAUGCCCAGAGUAGCCUUUUUUAUUUUUAUUUUCUGAGACAAGAGUCUUGCUCUGUCACCCAGGCGGGAGUUCGGUGGCAUGAUCACAGUUCACUGCAGCCUCAAUCAGCCUCCUGAGUAGCUGGGACUACAGGCAUGCACCAUCAUACCUGGCUAAUUUUUUAAAUUUUUAGUAGAGACGAGGUUUUGCUAUAUUCUCCUGGCUGGUCUUCCACUCCUGACCUCAAGCAAUCUUCCCACCUCAGCCUCCCAAAACGCUAGGAUUACAGGUGGAGAAGAAAAUCACAAAGGUAAAAAAACCCCUUCAAAGAAAUUCAAGAAAAAAACCUCGAUCACCUCCUUCCUGCU